rnacentral:rRNA from 1 species
GAUGAACGCUGGCGGCGUGCCUAAUACAUGCAAGUCGAGCGAACAGACGAGGAGCUUGCUCCUCUGACGUUAGCGGCGGACGGGUGAGUAACACGUGGAUAACCUACCUAUAAGACUGGGAUAACUUCGGGAAACCGGAGCUAAUACCGGAUAAUAUAUUGAACCGCAUGGUUCAAUAGUGAAAGACGGUUUUGCUGUCACUUAUAGAUGGAUCCACGCCGCAUUAGCUAGUUGGUAAGGUAACGGCUUACCAAGGCAACGAUGCGUAGCCGACCUGAGAGGGUGAUCGGCCACACUGGAACUGAGACACGGUCCAGACUCCUACGGGAGGCAGCAGUAGGGAAUCUUCCGCAAUGGGCGAAAGCCUGACGGAGCAACGCCGCGUGAGUGAUGAAGGUCUUCGGAUCGUAAAACUCUGUUAUUAGGGAAGAACAACUGUGUAAGUAACUAUGCCCGUCUUGACGGUACCUACUCAGAAAGCCACGGCUAACUACGUG